ACGUGUUUACGGGUCUUAGCGAACCCGGGGUCCUGAGCUCUUGUUGGUUGUAGGUAGGAAUGAUCAGCUGUUCAACUCUUUUGGAUUAGAUUUAGGUAAAUGUUUUUACUUAUUGUUUUAAGUCUCUUUGUGUGCUUAGGCUUCUUAUUGUGAUUUGUAUAGGAAUUUGUUAUCCCCCAGGGGAACACGUUCUUACGUGUUUACGGGUCUUAGCGAACCCGGGGUCCUGAGCUCUUGUUGGUUGUAGGUAGGAAUGAUCAGCUGUUCAACUCUAUUGGCGUUAAUUUAAGGAAAUGUUUUACUGUUUGUUAUCGGUCAACUUUUUCUUCUUCGGCUUAUCGUUCUGAUUUGCAUUAGUUAUUUGUUUGAUUGAUUGUCCUUUUGAUAGUGUUUAUUAGUUUAUUAUUUAUAUUUUUACAGUGUUAUUGAUUUAUUUGUUGUCAAUUUUUAUGAAAGGUAUUUCAUGGUUAUUUCUUAAUGGUUCUAUUGAAUAGUAUUGAGUUUUCUUUACUAAAUAGGAAUAUGAUUUUUACUGUUAUAUGCUUGGUUUUGUUUUUUGUUUUUUUUUUUUUAUUUUUUUUAGAUAUUUGUUUGAUGGAUUGUUCUUUAUGCGAAAUUGGAUAAAUUUGUCUAUAACUAUGAAAGAACUUGAACUUAUUCUUUGUAUCAACAUAAACCAAGAAUUCUUCUGGAGCCGGAACCUGGAUUUUUUUUUUGGAUCGACCCAAAUCAAUUUUCCUCCGGGAGCCGGGGAUCCCCUUUUCAUUUCUCCUUCUGAACUCUACACUUUGAAUAUUUAAUGAACCUGGAUUUUGAAUCAUUUCAAUCUAAAGGAGGUGUCCUUUGAGAGCUGGAUAACCA